CCGGUCGUACUCAUAACCGCA
rnacentral:sRNA from 1 species